GACGAACGCUGGCGGCGUGCCUAAUACAUGCAAGUCGAGCGAAUCUUGAGGUGCUUGCACCUCUUGGUUAGCGGCGGACGGGUGAGUAACACGUGGGCAACCUGCCUGUAAGACUGGGAUAACUCUCGGGAAACCGGAGCUAAUACCGGAUAAUCCUUUUCCUCUCAUGAGGAAAAGCUGAAAGUCGGUUUACGCUGACACUUACAGAUGGGCCCGCGGCGCAUUAGCUAGUUGGUGAGGUAACGGCUCACCAAGGCGACGAUGCGUAGCCGACCUGAGAGGGUGAUCGGCCACACUGGGACUGAGACACGGCCCAGACUCCUACGGGAGGCAGCAGUAGGGAAUCUUCCGCAAUGGACGAAAGUCUGACGGAGCAACGCCGCGUGAGCGAUGAAGGCCUUCGGGUCGUAAAGCUCUGUUGUUAGGGAAGAACAAGUAUCGGAGUAACUGCCGGUACCUUGACGGUACCUAACCAGAAAGCCACGGCUAACUACGUGCCAGCAGCCGCGGUAAUACGUAGGUGGCAAGCGUUGUCCGGAAUUAUUGGGCGUAAAGCGCGCGCAGGCGGUCCUUUAAGUCUGAUGUGAAAGCCCACGGCUCAACCGUGGAGGGUCAUUGGAAACUGGGGGACUUGAGUACAGA
rnacentral:rRNA from 1 species